rnacentral:lncRNA from 1 species
UUUGCCAACAAUAAUUUCACAAAUGUAUAUAUAAAAUAAUAAAUUUUAUAUGUAUAUAAAUGUCAAUACAUAAAAUUGAUACACAAGUAUGUACUCACUAUAACUAAAUCUUCUAAAAUGUAUGCUUUUACUUGCAAAAAGAACAAAAGCAUCAUAUACCAAGGUUAUUAAAUUCUAAUCUAAUAAUUCCAAAAAUAAAUCUUCUUCCAACAACUUGUUGUACUGCAUGAACCAUAUUUCCAGCAAUGAGGAUUUAAGCAUGUCCAUCCUACAAAAGAAGAUAAAUAUCUUUAUAUUUUGAUAAAAGAAAGUUGUAAAGUACAAAACUACAAUUAACAAAGAAAAAGAGGAAAUCAGAUAUGCUUAUUGUCCACUUACUAAACAUUGCAAUUAUUUCAUCACUCAAAAUGUUACAUAUUACAGAAUUGUUGAAUAGAAACAUUCAACUAAAAAGAAAACUGAAUAUAAGUUGCAAAAUUAUCAGUUCAAGAGAAAUACUCCAAAUAGAAUUGAAUAAAUUGAGUUGUAAAUCUUUCAAAAAUUCCACAUCGAAGCUGAAUACUUCCCCAAACAAAGUUGUUGCACCAGAACCUACUAAAUACUCCGAAGAUACAAUAUUAUAGUCAAAACAAAAUACUAUACAAAUAUUUAUUCAAGUAAAUAGACUCAUUUGUGCAUACAACCAAGAUAUUUACUUUUUUCAUGAAAAAUAAAGUUACUUAGCAUGACUUGUAGACUUUACUCAUCCUCUUCUUCUAAAAUAUAGCACUAUAAGAUCAACAAGUAUAAAUAGUAGCAAGAAUAUGAAGGCCGUAAAACAGAGUAGAGGAAAUGAAACAUACAAUUCACUAUAUGACCUGGUUCUAUCAAUUUCAAUCUCUUCCAUAGUUUUUCCAAUUCAUUGACAAAAUCAAGAAUCCUCAAAUAAACUUAAUUAGUUGUGCAUUUGGAAUUACACAGCAGGUCCAACUCUACUAGAAACAUGUACAAUAGCCAUGCCAUAAUCAUAAUUAUAGGCUACAAGAAAUAUUGGACCACAUAAGGGAAAAAGAGAUGCAUUCAGUAAUGGAUAGUGUUAGAACAUAAACAAUAACCUUCUUCCUUGAGUUUCCACCUAGGCUGCCUAACAUAAAGAAGGGUAAAGGUAGGACAUGAUUUGAAAUAUUUAACUAAUAUUUCUAUGUGAUUAGAGAACAAUCCACUCAAGCUGCAACAAAAAGAACCAAGUUCUCUAUAGAUAAAAUUUGUAAAGAGUAAUUUCUUUCUUUAUACUAAGUAAAAAUCUUUUUCUCAAAACAAGUCCCGGUGAAUGCAAUGAGAAGGAAAUUGACUAAGUGACCUUUAGUACUAUGACCUGUUGCAUUUUGUACAGCUCUCUCUUUGCAUAUCGAAUGUUUCAUUUUUUAUUGGUUAACUCAUGAAUAUUUUUUGCAUGUGUUUAAAUCCCUACUGCACAUUAAACAAUAAAGGUUUCUAUUAAAGCAAAGAAUUACCUAUUUUUCUACAACUCACGUUUCACUGCAUUAGCAAGAGUUUUUCUCUCCGCACUUGCGCUAUCCACGGAAAAAAGGAGGCAAAUAUAAUUAGUAGUACAGAUAAUUCAAGAGCAAUUAUACACAAAUAUACAAGUGGAACUACUAAUCGGCACUAGCAGCUUAUAAAAAAGUAGUGAAUGAAUGAUAAUUGGUAGUACAAAUAAGGCUUUACGGAUGCACGACACAAAAAUUUAUAAUUUAUUCUUGAAAUCCCUGUAAUAUUGGAAAGAGUUUUUUCUUCUAGUGUUUUACUCACUUGUAAUUACUAUAGCACUUUGACCAAAAAAAAUACUACAUCACUUCCUUAGUGCUAGCUUUAUAAUACAAUUGUUUUUCUCUAAAAAUGAUUUACUUCUUGAACCUCAAACUUCUUUAGUGCAAGACACUAAGAUUUAUCAAUAAACUAAGGAACAGAAAGGUCACUAUAGUUUUAAUUUUAACAAGGCAACUAAUUCUCUUAAGCUUCUAGUUAAAACCACAAUAAUUAUUAGAUUUUACCGAAUUUUUUUAGAGAACAAAUAACACCUAAUCUCACAAAAUAUCCAAUCACUUAGAACCCGAAAUGUCCAUUGAAACCAGAGAUACAGAUACAACAUCUUCCUCAAGAUGAACGAUAGUAAUACUCACAUCACUAAGUGUAAAUAUUUUCACUCUGCGUUUCCAUCACUAGUGAGGAUAAAAUCAGUACGAUUGAAAUAUAUUAAGUCAAUUUUCAAACAUAUAUAGAUGCUAAAGAAACGAAUAUAGACAAAGCAGAAACUAACUUACAGUGAGAUGUGGGAAUCAAAGUAACACAAUCAAAGAGAGACUUGCAUCCGCAAAGCCAGAAAUAGCCUAUUCUUUAGGAGCAUUACAACCCAAAAAAUAUAGCCAAAGCAUAUGCCAAAAUCUACAUCUAUCCCAAUUCCAAAAAGCACAAAUAUACCACAUAAAAAAUAAUUACAGUCACUAUCUGCUUGUGAAUCUUCAAUCAAUAGAAAGGAAGGUAGUAUUUUAAAAAAAAAAGGUAAAAUAGAAAUACCAACCGAAUAAGACAUGAGACCAUUGAUUAGAAUUGGAAUGGAGCUAUAAGUACUAAUGUGAAUGAAUCACACUAUCUUUGUUUAGAACCUGCAAAAAAAAAAUGGUUUAUUUGAUGCCCAAGUUUUUGCUUUGAGAAAGCGUCGACCCUGGUUAGGACCUCCUAACUAAAAACAUACAAUUGAAGCAUUCAAGGAAUUGAAACCCUAAACUAGAAACAACUAAAACUAGAGAUGAAGGAGCUUACAAUUUUAAGCCAUAGCCGCACUACUAAAAGAUAAGGUUGUCGCUCAUUUGAACCUUGUAACUCAAAAGCACGAGCCGAAGGGUUGAACGAAUUGGUAAAGAUGAAAGCCAAAAUAAAAAUAAAAAGGGGGAGUGAUUCGGGGAUAAAAGGGAGGGACGUUUGGCGCGUUUGUUUUUGCUAAAAAUUGAGAAAGAAUUAAAUAUUGUUUAGGCCACAUGUCAAACAAACUGUUAAGAAAAAUAAGUAUUUUACCAACAAGAAAAUGCUUUUGGCAACACUGACAAUUUAUUGUUGACAAUUUAUUUAUAUUU